CCCUUAGAUGUUCUGGGCCGCACGCGUGCUACACUGAGUGGAUCAGCGGGUCAGGUUGCGCGAAAGCGUUUCCUAAUCUUUAAAUCCGCUCGUGAUGGGGAUUGACGGUUGCAAUUUUCUGUCAUGAACGAGGAAUACCUUGUAAGCGCGGGUCAUCAUCCCGCGCUGAAUACGUCCCUGCCCUUUGUACACACCGCCCGUCGCUCCUACCGAUUGAAUGGUCCGGUGAAGCGUUUGGACUAUGGUUUUCUGAUGGUCCGCCGUUGGAUUACCGUGGGAAGUUCGUUAAACCUUAUCAUUUAGAGGAAGGAGAAGUCGUAACA
rnacentral:rRNA from 1 species